GACGAACGCUGGCGGCGUGCUUAACACAUGCAAGUCGAACGGAAAGGCCCUGCUUUUGUGGGGUGCUCGAGUGGCGAACGGGUGAGUAACACGUGAGUAACCUGCCCUUCACUUUGGGAUAACUUCAGGAAACUGGGGCUAAUACCGGAUAGGAGCUCCUGCUGCAUGGUGGGGGUUGGAAAGUUUCGGCGGUUGGGUAUGGACUCGCGGCUCAUCAGCUUGUUGGUGGGGUAGUGGCUUACCAAGGCUUUGCCGGGUAGCCGGGCUGAGAGGGUGGGCGGCCAAGUUGGAACUGGAAUGCGACCCAGCCUCCUACGGGAGGCAGCGGAGGGGAAGAGUGCACAAUGGGCGGAAGCCAAAUGCGACAACGCCGCGUGGGGGAUGACGGCCUGCGGGUUGUAAACCGCUUUCGCCUGUGACGAAGCGUGAGUGACGGUAAUGGGUAAAGAAGCACCGGCUAACUACGUG
rnacentral:rRNA from 1 species